GACGAACGCUGGCGGCGUGCUUAACACAUGCAAGUCGAACGCGCCUGUCCUCUGGGUUUCUGGGGGGUGGGUGAGUGGCGAACGGGUGAGUAACACGUGAGUAACCUGCCCCCUUCUUCGGGAUAACGGUCUGAAAGGGCUGCUAAUACCGGGUAUUCACUGGUCUCCGCAUGGGGUCUGGUGGAAAGGUUUUUUUCUGGUGGGGGAUGGGCUCGCGGCCUAUCAGCUUGUUGGUGGGGUGAUGGCCCACCAAGGCUUUGACGGGUAGCCGGCCUGAGAGGGUGACCGGUCACAUUGGGACUGAGAUACGGCCCAGACUCCUACGGGAGGCAGCAGUGGGGAAUAUUGCACAAUGGGCGCAAGCCUGAUGCAGCGACGCCGCGUGAGGGAUGGAGGCCUUCGGGUUGUGAACCUCUUUCGCCCGUGGUCAAGCCGCGACGUGGGUCGUGGUGAGGGUAGUGGGUAAGAAGCGCCGGCUAACUACGUG
rnacentral:rRNA from 1 species